rnacentral:rRNA from 1 species
GAGCGAGAACCCGCAAGGGGGACAGCGGCGAACGGGGUAGGACAACGUAGGUAACGUACCCUCGGGGCGAGGACAGCCACGGGAAACUGUGGGUAAUACUCGAUAAAGUUCCCAAUCGUGAUGGAAGGGGAACCAAUGGGUGAGAUUCCACCUGAGGAGCGGCUUACGCAGUAUCAGCUUGUUGGUGAGGUAACGGCUCACCAAGGCUAAGACGCUUAGGGGAUGUGAGAGCAUGAUCCCCACCACUGGCACUGAGACACUGGCCAGACACCUACGGGUGGCUGCAGUCGAGAAUCUUCGGCAAUGGACGCAAGUCUGACUGAGCGACGCCGCGUGCGGGAUGAAGGUCUUCGGAUUGUAAACCGCUGUCAGAGGGGAUGAAGUGUACGGGGGUUCUCCCCUGUAUUUGACAGAGCCUCAGAGGAAGCACGGGCUAAGUUCGUGCCAGCAGCCGCGGUAAUACGAACUGUGCGAACGUUAUUCGGAAUCACUGGGCUUAAAGGGUGCGUAGGCGGUUUCUUAAGUCAGGUGUGAAAUCUUUCGGCUCAACCGGAAAACUGCGCUUGAUACUGAGAGACUUGAGUG